UUAGGAUUUACCAGUCCAUGUGCACCAGGCAGGCCUAAAGCUUUGCAAGAGAUUCACAAGAGCCCCAGUUUCUUUCCAACGUGACACCUCAUAAGAUAAAUUAAUUAUACCUAACUGGACCUGAUCAUCUCAUCAGCAGUAUGCUUUGGACAACCACAAGUAUUGAAGUCCAUCUGAAAACCAUCUCUAAGAUUUCAACUGACUGGGCUAAAUACUCCAGUUCUCUCACCCUGGCUGCAGUUUGACUACUUCAGAAAAACCAGA